UGGUUUUCGCUGGACCUCCUGCCAAC
rnacentral:piRNA from 1 species